AUUGAACGCUGGCGGCAGGCCUAACACAUGCAAGUCGAGCGGAUGAAGGGAGCUUGCUCCUGGAUUCAGCGGCGGACGGGUGAGCAAUGCCUAGGAAUCUGCCUGGUAGUGGGGGAUAACGUCCGGAAACGGGCGCUAAUACCGCAUACGUCCUGAGGGAGAAAGUGGGGGAUCUUCGGACCUCACGCUAUCAGAUGAGCCUAGGUCGGAUUAGCUAGUUGGUGGGGUAAAGGCCUACCAAGGCGACGAUCCGUAACUGGUCUGAGAGGAUGAUCAGUCACACUGGAACUGAGACACGGUCCAGACUCCUACGGGAGGCAGCAGUGGGGAAUAUUGGACAAUGGGCGAAAGCCUGAUCCAGCCAUGCCGCGUGUGUGAAGAAGGUCUUCGGAUUGUAAAGCACUUUAAGUUGGGAGGAAGGGCAGUAAGUUAAUACCUUGCUGUUUUGACGUUACCAACAGAAUAAGCACCGGCUGACUUCGUG
rnacentral:rRNA from 1 species